CAUCUUUAAAGGAUGACUAGUAUGUUAGGAACAUAAAUUUCUUGGGGGUCUUUAAGAUAAAUUCAGUCACAACUUGGAACGAACUUGUAGUGCUUUUGAAAU